rnacentral:lncRNA from 1 species
AUGAGUCAGCAGAUUUACCCGGAUUUUUUUUUUUCGAGGUUGGCCGGAUCCCAGCCUGAUGCCCUGCCCGGCUUCCACCGCCCAGCUUCUGCAAUAACCUCUCGGUUCUGGAAAUGAGCUCAUCCCCUUUGGCUGCCCUGUGGAGACAGAUGGCUGGCCCAAGCGGGAGGAGGGUUUGGAGACUGGAUCCAGUGCCUUGGCACCAGCACCAUGAACGGUGGCCAAGAUGCUGAGGAGCCCCGACUCUCCCAUCUGACACCACCUCACAGGCAGACCAGUUCUCCGUAAGACACCUCUGCAGCAAUUUUGAUGAUAGAUCCUUCCUCCAUAUUUUUCAAGAAUUCCCUCAGUUCCGUUUCCUCUGCCUCUUCUUGGCUGGGGUUCACAGCUGUCAAACCAAAAGACUAAAAGAAUGGAACAAUAACUCAGGGAAAAAGACUUUUGAAGCCAGGCAUGGUGGCACACACACCUGUAUCACCAGUGAUUCAGGAGGCUGAGGCAGGAAGAUUACAAGUUCAAGGUAACUUAACAAGACUAUGGCAAAAUAAAAAUUGAAAAAUGACUAGGGUUAUUGCUCAGUGGUAAAGCA